UGUGUUUCAGGUGGGAUGGACGGUGGGCACAGGAGUGCGGUACUGGGACCCUGGGAGAAUAUUAAAAAAGGACAUGUUUACGCAUUUCUGUUACUCCCUGUUUACGCUCAAAGCCCUUGAUGCCCUCUUGCUGCCUCUCCUCUCAGCCUCCUCUUCCCAAAGUGAUCCUGCUGAACGUUGGAGGCAGGGAGGCUCAUCUAGCCACCUGUGACGCAAGGGCUGGGAGGUGGUGGUGGUGAAUGAGGGAGGGAGGAGAGAGGCUGCACAGUAUCUAUCUGUGGUCACAAACAAGAAGACUAUUGAGCGUGGACACUGAAGUUUGAACUGCAAGCUGAGAGGAGGGCAGAAAACCGCAUAAAAGAACAAAUGCAGCCACCCAGAGCACAAAGGCUCUUGUUGUUUCAACUGAUCAAGACUGCCCUGUUUAUUGUCUGAGAGCUUAGUAAGCUGUAUCUACACAUGUGGCAGGAGUAAGGUAUACCACGCACAUUUAAUCCUUUGCACACAAUAGAAAAUGACUCGAACACAGCCUGGAUUAGCAUCUUUUAUUAACUUACCCAUUUACAGUGAAGCUUUUUCUGUGUUAUAUUGGAAGCAAUAAAAUUUUAAAGAGAAGUUGAUCUGAUUGAGGAAAAGCUGUGUUGAUAAGGAAUUAUUACACGAGACUGCAGAUUUUUCACUACCAGUCUCUGCAAAACAGGAUGUAACCAUAUGAAACCACCAAUGCACCAUGCAGUACAGGGCAGUUCAUCUCCAUUUAUUCUGAAGCCCCGAUUCACAGAAAUAAAUCACUCUGUUGCAUUUUCCAAAUGCUCAACUUGCUGAGGCACAACACUGCUCCCUUUGUUAUGCCUCUGCCUACAAGCAACACGUGCCAGGCUGAGACCCAAAGGGGUGGGCACACAAGCAAUGGAGGUCUGGGUGUUAAAAAAAAAAAA